UACAGAGGGUGCAAGCGUUGUUCGGAUUUACUGGGCGUAAAGCGUGCGUAGGCGGCAUUGAGAGUCGCAGGUGAAAUCCCCAAGCUUAACUUGGGAACUGCCUGCGAGACCUCAAUGCUAGAGUGUGAGAGGGGAUGGUGGAAUUCCAGGUGUAGCGGUGAAAUGCGUAGAGAUCUGGAGGAACACCGGCGGCGAAGGCGGCCAUCUGGCUCACAACUGACGCUCAGGCACGAAAGCGUGGGUAGCAAACAGG
rnacentral:rRNA from 1 species